CACUGGUAGAGAACACUAGUAGAGAACACUACUAGAGAACACUAGAAGAGAACAUUAGAUGAGAACACUACUAUAGAACACUACUAAAGAACACUAGUAGAGAACACUGGAAGAGGACACUGGUAGAGAACACUAAUAGAGACCACUAGAAGAGAACAUUAGAUGAGAACACUACUAUAGAACACUACUAAAGAACACUAGUUGAGAACACUAGUAGAGAACACUGGAAGAGGACACUGGUAGAGAACACUAGUAGGAAACACUAGUAGGUAACACUAGUAGAGAACACUAGAAUAGAACACUAGAAGAGAACACUAGAUGAGAAAACUAGUAGAAAACACUAGAAUAGAAAUCUAGAAGAGAAAACUGGUAGAAAAAAAUAGUAGAGAACACUAGUUAAGAACACUAGAAGAUAAACACUAGUAGAGAACACGAGUAGAGAACACGAGUAGAGAACACGAGUAGAGGACACGAGUAGAGAACGCUAGAAGAGAACACUAGGAGAGAACACUAGAAGAGAACGCUAGGAGAGAACACUAGUAGAAAACACUCGUAGGAAACACUAGUAGAGAACACUCGUACAGAACACUAGAAGAGACCACUAGUGGAGACCACUUGAUGAGAAACUAGUAGAGAACACUAGUAGAGAACACGAGUAGAGAACACUAGAAGAGACCACUAGUGGAGACCACUUGAUGAGAACACUAGCAGAGAACACUAGUAGAGAACACUAGUAGGAAACACUAGUAGAGAACACUAGUAGAGACCACUUGAAGAGAACACGAGAAGAGGACACUGGUAGAGAACACUAGUAGAGAACACUCGUAGGAAACACUAGAAGAGACCACUUGAUGAGAACACUAGUAGAGAACACUAGAAUAGGAUAUUGAGGAAACGUAUACCAAAUUGUUGCAGUGAAUUGUGUUGUUUUACAGGGUCAGCCGCAAUAGUACGGCACCCCUGGAGUAAAUUAUGACAAAGUGCCUUUCUCAAGAACACAUUAGAUUUUUCACCUUUACAGCUCAUUUAUUCAAAACAGAAUCCUUUCGGUUCCUGGCCCAACACUCUCACCGCUAGGCUACAUUCUCCCUAUGUCUCUAUGAGGAAGUCUGGGCUGGCGGGACACUUCCUACUACAGGAAUUGACCUGGUCCAUGGUGUCACAGAGAUAAGAGUCUCCUCUGCUCCUCUCAGGAGACAGGUUCACCCCAGGUCCACUCGCCUGGAAACUAGGUCUGGACAGGGAAGGAGGUUCAAAGCCAUUCCGAGAGAGAUAUGGAGAACGUUGUCCCGACUGACCAGUCAGCUAGUGUCCAUCCUAUCUUACCUUUAGUUUUAACCUCAGGUAAGAACCAGGAAGUGUGCUUGUUGUCAGAGGAAGUACAGGUGAAUGUAUGACCCAGGCAAACAUCUGUGAUUCGUUGACAAUAGGAUGGCCAGCAUUGCAUAGUUUAUGUAUGGUGUGAAAAUCUAAAAUCAUUUCAUGUUUUCCUCAAAACCAUUCCUCCCUCAGAUCUACCCAUAUGACGUGUUGGUGGUCACCAUAAGGAGGCAGAACCAGCCCCCCAAUGACGUGGACAGAGCCAGGCUAGAGCGCCACCUGUCUCCUGAGGACUUCUACCGGGUGUUUAGGAUGACUAUGUCUGAUUUUGACCGGCUGGCACUGUGGAAGAGAAACGAGCUCAAGAAACAAGUCAGGCUGUUCUGAAAGGAUCAGACUGUAGAAGCUCAGUAUAGCAGCCUGCUGGGCUUAACGUUAGAGGGGCCUGAGUCCUCACUGAGAGCCAUAAUAACCAGCCUGGGUAGUCCUCGAUCCAUCAGGUCACAGCAGAACCAGAACUAAAACCAGCUUGGGUUCUAGCCAUAGAAAUAGAAUGAGUUGUAAUGAUAAAGUUCUGUUGUUCCAGGACAUCCUCCGGGCCAGAGAAAUCCAGCCAGUCUAUACAUCAAUAAUAUAUCUCUGGAGAAAGAGGAGUAACAGGCUCCUCCCCCUGAGCCAUGUCUGUUUGUGGGAGAACUAGUCCUUCUGCCUGUGCUUUCAGUAUUAUGUGUUUGCUUUAUUAGGGGGAGUUUAACUAUAGUUCAUGGCUGUCAUGUUAUGAGGUUAUAGCAGAUUUGAACCCUUUUCAGGUCGCAGGUUUGGAGAGCUCUGAGACAUUAUCUUAUGAUCAAGCAGGAAAGAGAACACCAGCAAACUGUCCAAACAGAACGUUCUACCAGAUAAACUCUGUCCUUGCUUUCUUUACUCUAAAUAUAUUGUUUCAUUCAGACUUUUAUUUAUUUAUUUUUUACAUUGAGACUAAAACGUUGUAUUUCUUAAUAGAGCAAGGGUCCACCACGGAGUGAAAGGCUAGAUCGAUGUAUUGCGGUAGUACAGUUUAAGAAAAUGUGUGGAUCAUUGUGUGUUUCCUGAAAAACCAAAGUAAUACAACUAUAUUAAGAACAAA